UACGUAGGGUCCGAGCGUUGUCCGGAAUUACUGGGCGUAAAGAGCUCGUAGGUGGUUUGUCGCGUUGUUCGUGAAAACUCACAGCUCAACUGUGGGCGUGCGGGCGAUACGGGCAGACUAGAGUACUGCAGGGGAGACUGGAAUUCCUGGUGUAGCGGUGAAAUGCGCAGAUAUCAGGAGGAACACCGUGGCGAAGGCGGGCCGCUG
rnacentral:rRNA from 1 species